AGGACGAACGCUGGCGGCGUGCUUAACACAUGCAAGUCGAACGGUAAGGCCCCUUCGGGGGUACACGAGUGGCGAACGGGUGAGUAACACGUGGGUAAUCUGCCCUGCACUUCGGGAUAAGCCUGGGAAACCGGGUCUAAUACCGGAUAUGAGCUCUCACCGCAUGGUGGGGGUUGGAAAGUUUUUCGGUGCAGGAUGAGUCCGCGGCCUAUCAGCUUGUUGGUGGGGUAAUGGCCUACCAAGGCGACGACGGGUAGCCGGCCUGAGAGGGUGAUCGGCCACACUGGGACUGAGACACGGCCCAGACUCCUACGGGAGCAGCAGUGGGGAAUAUUGCACAAUGGGACGGAAGCCUGAUGCAGCGACGCCGCGUGGGGGAUGACGGUCUUCGGAUUGUAAACUCCUUUCAGGUAGGGACGAAGCGAGAGUGACGUACUGCAGAAGAGCGACCGGCCAACUACGUGCCGAGCAGCCGA
rnacentral:rRNA from 1 species